ACGCUGGCGGCAUGCCUUACACAUGCAAGUCGAACGGCAGCACGGGAGCAAUCCUGGUGGCGAGUGGCGAACGGGUGAGUAAUACAUCGGAACGUGCCCAAUCGUGGGGGAUAACGCAGCGAAAGCUGUGCUAAUACCGCAUAAGAUCUACGGAUGAAAGCAGGGGAUCGCAAGACCUUGCGCGAAUGGAGCGGCUGAUGGCAGAUUAGGUAGUUGGUGAGGUAAAGGCUCACCAAGCCUUCGAUCUGUAGCUGGUCUGAGAGGACGACCAGCCACACUGGGACUGAGACACGGCCCAGACUCCUACGGGAGGCAGCAGUGGGGAAUUUUGGACAAUGGGCGAAAGCCUGAUCCAGCCAUGCCGCGUGCAGGAUGAAGGCCUUCGGGUUGUAAACUGCUUUUGUACGGAACGAAAAGGUCUUUUCUAAUAAAGAAGGCUCAUGACGGUACCGUAAGAAUAAGCACCGGCUAACUACGUGCCAGCAGCCGCGGUAAUACGUAGGGUGCAAGCGUUAAUCGGAAUUACUGGGCGUAAAGCGUGCGCAGGCGGUUAUAUAAGACAGUUGUGAAAUCCCCGGGCUCAACCUGGGAACUGCAUCUGUGACUGUAUAGCUAGAGUACGGUAGAGGGGGAUGGAAUUCCGCGUGUAGCAGUGAAAUGCGUAGAUAUGCGGAGGAACACCGAUGGCGAAGGCAAUCCCCUGGACCUGUACUGACGCUCAUGCACGAAAGCGUGGGGAGCAAAC
rnacentral:rRNA from 1 species